CCUACGGGUGGCAGCAGUGAGGAAUAUUGGUCAAUGGGCGAAAGCCUGAACCAGCCAAGUAGCGUGCAGGAUGACGGCCCUACGGGUUGUAAACUGCUUUUAUACGGGAAUAACGCGCCUUACGUGUAGGGCUUUGCAUGUACCGUGUGAAUAAGGACCGGCUAAUUCCGUGCCAGCAGCCGCGGUAAUACGGAAGGUGCGGGCGUUAUCCGGAUUUAUUGGGUUUAAAGGGAGCGUAGGCCGCAUGUCAAGCUUGCUGUUAAAUGGCCGGGCUCAACCCGUGCCUGGCAGUGGGAACUGGGGUGCUUGAGUGCGCGGAAAGCAGGCGGAAUGCGUGGUGUAGCGGUGAAAUGCUUAGAUAUGACGAAGAACCCCGAUUGCGAAGGCAGCUUGCUGGAGCGGAACUGACGCUGAUGCUCGAAAGCGCGGGUAUCGAACAGGAUUAGAUACCCUUGUAGUC
rnacentral:rRNA from 1 species